rnacentral:rRNA from 1 species
AACGAACGCUGGCGGCAGGCUUAACACAUGCAAGUCGAACGCAUCGCAAGAUGAGUGGCAGACGGGUGAGUAACGCGUGGGAAUCUACCCAUCUCUGCGGAAUAGCUCUGGGAAACUGGAAUUAAUACCGCAUACGCCCUACGGGGGAAAGAUUUAUCGGGGAUGGAUGAGCCCGCGUUGGAUUAGCUAGUUGGUGGGGUAAAGGCCUACCAAGGCGACGAUCCAUAGCUGGUCUGAGAGGAUGAUCAGCCACAUUGGGACUGAGACACGGCCCAAACUCCUACGGGAGGCAGCAGUGGGGAAUAUUGGACAAUGGGCGCAAGCCUGAUCCAGCCAUGCCGCGUGAGUGAUGAAGGCCUUAGGGUUGUAAAGCUCUUUCACCGAUGAAGAUAAUGACGGUAGUCGGAGAAGAAGCCCCGGCUAACUUCGUGCCAGCCGCCGCCGUAACAC